CACGAAUGUUUGAUUCCAUAUCAAGCCGCUUCUUUCGAUCAUUUCUCUUUCUUUCGCCCGUCUCUAGCCGCCAGAACAGUCUCCGACAAAAAGCCGUUGAGUCGUCUUUUAUGGUGAGACUUGCGAGGGAGGUCAUCACCUA
ensembl:ncRNA T07F12.7 ncRNA